UGAGUGAUAGCUCAGUGGUUCAGCUGUUCGAUUACUGAUUGUAAGGUUGUGAGUUCAAAUCUCAGCCCUUGAGCAA